AGUCGAACGAAGCGCUUAAGAAUGAUCCUUCGGAUGAAUUCUUUUGUGACUUAGUGGCGGACGGGUGAGUAACGCGUGGGUAACCUGCCUCACACAGGGGGAUAACAGUUGGAAACGACCGCUAAUACCGCAUAACCCGCUAGGGCCGCAUGGCCCGGACGGAAAAGAUUUAUCGGUGUGAGAUGGACCCGCGUUGGAUUAGCUAGUUGGCAGGGUAACGGCCUACCAAGGCGACGAUCCAUAGCCGGCCUGAGAGGGUGAACGGCCACAUUGGGACUGAGACACGGCCCAAACUCCUACGGGAGGCAGCAGUGGGGAAUAUUGCACAAUGGGGGAAACCCUGAUGCAGCGACGCCGCGUGAGUGAAGAAGUAUUUCGGUAUGUAAAGCUCUAUCAGCAGGGAAGAAAAUGACGGUACCUGACUAAGAAGCCCCGGCUAACUACGUGCCAGCAGCCGCGGUAAUACGUAGGGGGCAAGCGUUAUCCGGAUUUACUGGGUGUAAAGGGAGCGUAGACGGUUAAGCAAGUCAGAAGUGAAAGGCUGGGGCUCAACCCCGGGACUGCUUUUGAAACUGUUUAACUAGAGUGCUGGAGAGGUAAGCGGAAUUCCUAGUGUAGCGGUGAAAUGCGUAGAUAUUAGGAGGAACACCAGUGGCGAAGGCGGCUUACUGGACAGUAACUGACGUUGAGGCUCGAAAGCGUGGG
rnacentral:rRNA from 1 species